AACUCAAGUUUUCCUUCAACUACGCAUAAAUCUUUUUCCUUUUACCAAAGAUUUCCGUGGAGGGCGACCGGAGGGUGAGUUUAUUGUAUUUUUGGGUGCUCUGCUCACAGCAAAUCU